UAUAGGCCGGGACUCACACCGAAGCUAUGGCAAGAAGAAUUCAGACAUGAACCAAACAGUUUUAUAAAUCAAGAAUUUAAAAGAAAAUUCACACACUGGCCUGUGUGUCCGCUGCACCUGUAAGCCAGCAGCACUGAAAAAUAAUGCUGAAGAACACUGGCCCGUGGCCAAACCUGACACAUUGACACGCAGAGGCCAGAGAUGAAACCGAGAAGACACAGAACGACGUGCUUCACGCCGAGAAUGUUAAAGCGGGCCGAGACAAAUACAAAACGCUGCGCCAGAUCCGACGAGGCAACACGAAGCAGCGCAUCGAUGAAUUUGAGUCCAUGUGAGAACAGCGCCUCUCCCUCCUCGGCCCGCUUUGCCUCAGGGGUACGCGUUUCCGAACAGUCCCCCCAGUGAGUGCCCCUCAACAAACCCCAAGCAAUCUUGAGAAAUAAUCUUGUCAAACUUUGCCAAAGUCCUGCCCCGCAUCUCCACUCCAGUUUGAAAAUCGCUACGAUACAGAGCUGCUUACACGCCACUUUGAACAAGCAAAUAUCGUCAAACUGCAGAGGUCAUCUUUAAUCCACAGGGGAAAAGAGAAACUGUAAAACCAAAAUGGAAGCAAUUGGAUUUUUUUUAUUUUGAGCAAACAUGGCCAUAGAAAGCUACUUUUGUUGUGUUUUUUUGUUUGCUUAACGACUUAUAUGCAAAGCUUUAGUACGUCUUCAGUUAAAGUAACCUGUCCUCUCCUUGUUUUUAAGUUCUUUUCCUCUGCUUUUGUUUGACUCGUUUUAUUGACGAUGCCCUUCUUUUUAGUUGUCUGUCGAACACAAUGAGGAGUUUGGGAAUAAAUGAGGUCAAUAUUUUCAUUCAGUGUCAAAGCGCUGCUAUGUUACAUCAGGUCACAACAUUUCACAUGCUAAAUAUGUUAGAGAGCUGAGCUGAGAUCAUUUCACUCUAUUCAGUCUAUUCAAACUAUUGUUUUAAUUUCACAUUAACAGGUUUAUAUUUGAAUAGUUUCAUUUGAGGCUAAAUAUCAAGAAUAGCAACAUUUUCUGAUUUUGAUGAAAAUCCAUCGUGUGAAGUGAAUUGACCCUCGUAGGGAAAAGAGCCACCCAACCUGAACGAAUGUAGCACAGGUAACAAAGGGAAAGUGUUUUACGUGCAGAGGUGAUAGGACAGCAUGUAAUAAGCUUGUGCCACUGAAGAGUGGACAGACAGAACAGACAGAUUAGUAAUGUGUCCAAGCUGUUUGUCUGUUUGUCCAAAUGUGUGUGUGUGUGUGUGUGUGUGUGUUUGUGAGAGAGAGAGAGAGAGAGGGUGUACAUGAGUGUGUGUGGAGGUGUGGAAGCUGAGGCCUGGCACCUUUCUGGCUGGGGAGCUUAUGAAAACAUCAGUCCUCCACCCGGGACAAAUCUCUACCUCAGUAAUGUUAGCAGUGGUGACUGACAGUCAAACACUCUGGGUGUAACCCCCCCCCACCCCCACCUCUACGGGCUACGUUUGGUCAGAGCUUAGUUGCUUCGUGGCUGUAUGUUGGUCAAGUGAGAUCUAGUUUGGAAAGAGUUUUUUUCUUACAUUUGAAGCUGGUUUUACUUGGUGGUCUCUCCCUCCUCCUGGCCUUGCUCAGAUGUUUCUAUUCAUUCUCAUUUUGUCUGAAAAUAAUCCCAAACAAUGAGGAAGGUGAAUUAAAUAAUGUUGCAGAUAUGAGAACGGAGAUGUACUAUAAUAUACGGAUCUGACUGGGUCCUGUGAUGCGUUUGGUUUCUUAAGAGCCAUAAGUGGUAAAAGGCUGGGUCUAUGGAACCAGCUGGACUCUAGACAUCUUAAAAGAAGGCUCUCCUGUAAAAUGAUUCAAAUGGCCUUCAAAGUCUGCACUGAACUUUUCUCUCCUCUUUUACAAUUUCAAUGAAAGGAGACAGUUUGCAGACCUGCAUAGAAUUCUUGAGAUUUUUUUUUUUAUUAACAAUAUGAUGAAAAAUGUUUAUGGUAUUAUUUGUUACUGCUAUACUUGACAGCUGGUGUAGGUUGACUUUUUUUUUUUUUUUUUUUUUUGAUAGUCAGAGUUUUAAAGUCAAAGCACUUGUAUGAAACAAGACACUGAAGACUGCCUUUUGUGUUUAACUUCACAGUGUCCAUUGUUAGUGUUGUGUUUGCCAUAGCAGGUGAAAAAAAUGAUCCUGUGCUUCCAGCUCAUAUUUUUGUAUUGUGUACAAAGACCGUAAACCAGCAGCAUGCAUCGCUAUACUGGACAGCUUAAUUGGAGGGGAAAACUCACACCACACCCCCAAACCUUCCACAAUCAAACUAUAAGGCUUCAGUUAGACUCCGUCUUUCUUCGCAGCAGAAUGUUAUUAGCCUGCCUGCCUGUCCCCUCCAACGAAGCCAGCGUCUGUGAUGAUGUCUGCUCUGGCACCAGCUGUCAUGUUUCGCUGUUUGUUUUUUUUUCUUUUUUCUGUUGUUUUUUUUUCCUCCCCUUAUGUUCAUGAUAGUAUUCUUUAAGAUAGAAGGCACAGAUGGAUUGCGGUCCAUUUCAUUGGUUCACAAAUAAAAGUUUUAAAUUUUGA